rnacentral:tmRNA from 1 species
GGGGAUGAUCGGUUUCGACAAUAGGAAUCAUCUUAUAUAUGCAUGUAAAGUACUCAGGAAUCUUUUAAAACUUCUUGGAAAAGACUAAGUGCAAACAAAGUCGCAAAAGUAAAGUCUCCAUACUUCGGUAUGAACAGCUUUGCUUUCGCUUUCGCCUAAUUUAGGCCCGAGCGAUGUCUNNUGGGCAUAAUUCAUCGGAUUACGAAUUUACAAAUGCUUGAUGUAAAUUUCGACAAUUUAAAGAUCGGUGUUUAUUUUUCUUGUAUAUCCUCUAGAAUAAACAUUUAAAACCAAUUGGACAUACUAAACAUGUAGACUUAUCUAAGAUUUCCCCUUGCACGUGGGUUCAACUCCCACCAUCUCCACAC